UACGGAGGGGGUUAGCGUUGUUCGGAAUUACUGGGCGUAAAGCGCGCGUAGGCGGAUUAGAAAGUUGGGGGUGAAAUCCCGGGGCUCAACCUCGGAACUGCCUCCAAAACUGCUAGUCUAGAGUUCGAGAGAGGUGAGUGGAAUUCCGAGUGUAGAGGUGAAAUUCGUAGAUAUUCGGAGGAACACCAGUGGCGAAGGCGGCUCACUGGCUCGAUACUGACGCCGAGGUGCGAAAGUGUGGGGAGCGAACAGG
rnacentral:rRNA from 1 species